rnacentral:lncRNA from 1 species
GGCCUUGGCUGCAUUUUUAGGUAAAUAGUAUGAUAUAACUUUGUUGUUUGCAAAACUUAUGCAUUAUUUUUAGAAAUGUAUGUAUUUCAAGUUAUAAAAAUGAUUUAUUGAACACGUUUGUGGGUUUUACAGUAAGAAAUACAAUCUGAGUAGAAAAAAGUUAUGUUUUUUGUCUGUAUUUAGAUCACUUGUGCUAAUGCAGUAUGUCAAAAUGAAAAAAUAACUAAUUCAGAUAUGUCAGGUUGUGCUGAAAAGAAUGAUACCAAACAAGGCAAGAUGAACAGUUUUUAAAGGUUAAAUAUAUAGAGGUAAAACCAAAAGUAGGCAGAAUUACUAACAGUAGUGCAGAUAAUUCAUUUUUAAGGGCAUUUGUAAAUAUUAAGUAAGAGUAAGACAAAAAAUACAACUUUUUUUAGUAGUUGUAUGAAUCUUGUUUUUGUGUACAGGUGGUGUUUGUGAGCAGCGAGGAGCCAAAGAGUACAGAGGAACAGCAACAGGUUGCUGGCAUCUCCAAGACUCAAAGGCAUCACAAUGUCAGAAAUGGACACAAGUGUCCCAUAUGUGCACAUGUAUAUGCUGAUAUUGUUCAGCACCUAAGAGUCACAGAGAAGGUGGUAAAUGAAACUGAGCUGCUUCUUUUGAGCCAAUUUUCUCAUCGGCACUUUUCUGCAAAUCUGGACUGUCCAGUCCGCUUAUGUCAGUCAAAACAUCUUAAUCGGCUUGAUAAGCACCUGGAAAAGGUCCACAAAUUACAGAAACCUGUGAUUAAACUUUACAUGCAAAAGGCCAAGGACAGACACGUUGCUAAAGAACUGGCACUUCUGAGGGCAUCAAAUCCCACACCGCAAAUGGUCUCACAUGUUGAUGAAGUGGAUGAUGCAGUAAUUGAGGAGGCCAUCUUUAGGGCACUGGAGGAAGGGUCAAAGGUUGCUUCUCCUAUAGUCUCUUCCAGCAAGGCUCCCAGUGACCAUGCUACACCGAUCCACCGGCCUGCUCCUCCCUCUGACAGGGAGGCUCCCAGUGACUCUACCAGACCAAACCUACAGCCUCCUCUCUCUGCCAGUGCCACUCUCAGUGACCACACCAUCCCAAUUAUGCAGCCUCCUUCUAUCUCCACCAGCAAGAUUACUUGUGAUUCAACAGUGGUAUCCCCUGAUGUGUUAAUCCCAAGCAGUGCACCUUACUAUGCAGUACAGCAGUGGAGGGGACGUCCUCUCCUGAGGACACCUGCUCCUGGUUGCAAAAACUGUCAGAUACUGUUCACUGAGCUACAGGUGGUGAAGCAGUUGCUAGAGUGUGAAAUUGAAAGGAAUCAUGAGCUCAAGCAGAUACAUUCUUCAGCCAAGCAUCCAAAUGUUAAAAAUAGCAGACGUAAACGUUUUUCACCCAGCAAAAUCCCUCACUAUGUAAGACUUGUGGAGGAAUUUAGGGCCCAUGCAGAAGGUGUGAACCCUAGCAGAAAUCUACGUGAAAAUGCAAGGCAGCGAGCCACUCAUGUCAUCCAUUUUCUGGAAUUCAUGGCAGACCCAGCAAUUCCAAACGUUGACCUUCUGUUUCUGAGGAACCAUGGAAAAGUCCGUGAUUUUCUAGCACACCUGCAAGCAAAAGGGUUUAAACCAACAACUCAGAGAGCUUAUCUGAUGGAUGCUGUUGCUUUCACGAAAUAUAUAUUAAACAUGUCACCACCACAAGUCAGACUUGGAAUUAAAAGGAUCAACGCCCUUUUGGUCGAACUGAGGGCACGUAACAGAGAUGUUGGCCGUGAAGUAGUCGUGUACCAGCUGAAUGUGCGGAGAUCUAAGUCUAACAGACUUAUCCAAGCAGAAAAACAUGCUUUGUUCAUUGAAGAGGCUCCCCAGAAGAUUGCUGCCGCACUGGAUUACCUCGAGAAGCAACCCCAGAACAGAUCAAUAGUAAAAUUGUUUUUUGGACUGUUGGGUGGAUACCUCAUUGCCAUAACUGGCCACCGAAAGGGAGUGGUCAUCAACAUGACUACUGAGGAGGUUGAAAUGGCAGAAAAAACUAAGCAGGGUGCCCGCAUCAUCCGUAUUAAACAGCACAAGACUCAAAGAUACCAUGGGCAAGCAGCUGUCCCCCUGUACAAGAAUGAGUAUACCUGGUUGCAGCGUUACAAUCAUAUUAGAGAGUAUAUUGAAGGGGGUUCGGAGGCACCGACUUUUUUCCACAGUUCCAGUGGAGGUGUUCUUCAUAGACUACCGGUAUUUUUCAAGGCAGCCUGGGAGAUGAUGAAUCUGGGGAUUGCCCCCACCUUCAACAUGAUACGUUCCUCCUGUAGCACUUACGCCAAGCGACAGUUGGGACGUAAAUCUUACUACAGAGUGGCAACGUUUAUGUGCCAUGAUGCCGUCACAGCCAAAAGAUUUUACCAAGCUGAGGAACCUGCAGAGGACACACUCCAGAGCCGAGCACUGACAACAAAUGCAAUUGCAACAUAUGCAGCAAAUAAAAGGAAAAGGAGAGCGGACAGAGGGUCUAUGCAGGACAAGGACAGUCAUGGAUGUGACAAGGAAGAGCAGCAGUCAUCAGUAACAGAGGAGCUUUUAGACAGAAGGCUCUUCCAGUGUAGCAGUAACAAGAUGGUGAGCCCAGGUCAGGGUGAGGGUGCCGGUAGUGCUGGAGCCACAAUAAGAGAAACUAAACGGGAUUUGAAAGAGGAGGUGGAGCAGCUACAAAAUAUGACAUGCCAGUUGCGCAAGAGAAAAAUGGUCAUCUUUUACAAAAAUGAUAGGACAGGUGUGAGGAAACUCACACAAGAAGACAAUCCAGAAGAGGACGAGGAGGAGGAUGAAGCGAGAGAAUGGGUUCCUAAGUCUGUGAGCUCAUCUGAAGAUGAUGGGACAGAUGACUGGAAACCCACACAGGAAGAAUCUGAAGGCUAUUCAGAAGAGGAGGAAGAACAAAAACGGAAAAGGGUUCCUAAGGACAGGGAAACGGCGAUGAGCUCAUUACCAGUACAACACCAAAUUCCAGUUGUUACUCUGAAUUCAGUCACUCUCAAGGUAAGAACAAUUGAUUACAAAUGUCAACAAGUAUCAAUUCAAUUCAAUAAAACUUUAUUGAUCCUGAAGGUUGACCCCGAGGGAAAUUGGGUUAAGGCUGCCGACCUUUGCCAGCGCCGACUUACCCUUCUGACCAUACAUACAUUACACAAACAUCACAUGGGGAAGACAGGUCAGAGAGGUUUAACAAUGGAAAAAUGCACAACAUGA